GGCUACUCGGAGGCUAGUUAUGACGGAGGGUCUGAGAGCGGGGGUUCCUGUUGGUGCGGGACUCACGUCGACUGGGUGUCCGCGCUAAGCUC